rnacentral:rRNA from 1 species
AGCGAACGCUGGCGGCAGGCCUAACACAUGCAAGUCGAACGGACCCUUCGGGGUUAGUGGCGGACGGGUGAGUAACACGUGGGAACGUGCCUUUAGGGUCGGAAUAGCUCCUGGAAACGGGUGGUAAUGCCGAAUGUGCCCUUCGGGUGAAAGAUUUAUCGCCUUUAGAGCGGCCCGGGUCUGAUUAGCUAGUUGGUGAGGUAAUGGCUCACCAAGGCGACGAUCAGUAGCUGGUCUGAGAGGAUGACCAGCCACAUUGGGACUGAGACACGGCCCAAACUCCCACGGGAGGCAGCAGUGGGGAAUCUUGCGCAAUGGGCGAAAGCCUGACGCAGCCAUGCCGCGUGGAUGAUGAAGGUCUUAGGAUUGUAAAAUCCUUUCACCGGUGAAGAUAAUGACUGUAGCCGGAGAAGAAGCCCCGGCUAACUUCGUGCCAGCCGCCGCCGUAAUAC